UACGUAGGGGGCGAGGCGUUGUCCGGAGUACUGGCGUAAGCGCACGCAGGCGGUCUGCUAAGUUUGGAGUUGACAGUUGGUGGCUUAACUGCCAAAGUGCUUCGAAAACUGACAGACUUGAGGGCUUCAGAGGGACACGGAAUUCCGGGUGUAGAGGUGAAAUUCGUAGAUAUUGGGAAGAACACCAGUGGCGAAGGCGAACACACUGGCCCGUUACUGACGCUGAGGCGCGAAAGCGUGGGGAGCAAACAGG
rnacentral:rRNA from 1 species